rnacentral:rRNA from 1 species
GGUUAAGCGACUAAGCGUACACGGUGGAUGCCCUGGCAGUCAGAGGCGAUGAAGGACGUGCUAAUCUGCGAUAAGCGUCGGUAAGGUGAUAUGAACCGUUAUAACCGGCGAUUUCCGAAUGGGGAAACCCAGUGUGUUUCGACACACUAUCAUUAACUGAAUCCAUAGGUUAAUGAGGCGAACCGGGGGAACUGAAACAUCUAAGUACCCCGAGGAAAAGAAAUCAACCGAGAUUCCCCCAGUAGCGGCGAGCGAACGGGGAGCAGCCCAGAGCCUGAAUCAGUGUGUGUGUUAGUGGAAGCGUCUGGAAAGGCGCGCGAUACAGGGUGACAGCCCCGUACACAAAAAUGCACAUGCUGUGAGCUCGAUGAGUAGGGCGGGACACGUGGUAUCCUGUCUGAAUAUGGGGGGACCAUCCUCCAAGGCUAAAUACUCCUGACUGACCGAUAGUGAACCAGUACCGUGAGGGAAAGGCGAAAAGAACCCCGGCGAGGGGAGUGAAAAAGAACCUGAAACCGUGUACGUACAAGCAGUGGGAGCACAGAGCAAUCUGUGUGACUGCGUACCUUUUGUAUAAUGGGUCAGCGACUUAUAUUCUGUAGCAAGGUUAACCGAAUAGGGGAGCCGAAGGGAAACCGAGUCUUAACUGGGCGUUAAGUUGCAGGGUAUAGACCCGAAACCCGGUGAUCUAGCCAUGGGCAGGUUGAAGGUUGGGUAACACUAACUGGAGGACCGAACCGACUAAUGUUGAAAAAUUAGCGGAUGACUUGUGGCUGGGGGUGAAAGGCCAAUCAAACCGGGAGAUAGCUGGUUCUCCCCGAAAGCUAUUUAGGUAGCGCCUCGUGAAUUCAUCUCCGGGGGUAGAGCACUGUUUCGGCAAGGGGGUCAUCCCGACUUACCAACCCGAUGCAAACUGCGAAUACCGGAGAAUGUUAUCACGGGAGACACACGGCGGGUGCUAACGUCCGUCGUGAAGAGGGAAACAACCCAGACCGCCAGCUAAGGUCCCAAAGUCAUGGUUAAGUGGGAAACGAUGUGGGAAGGCCCAGACAGCCAGGAUGUUGGCUUAGAAGCAGCCAUCAUUUAAAGAAAGCGUAAUAGCUCACUGGUCGAGUCGGCCUGCGCGGAAGAUGUAACGGGGCUAAACCAUGCACCGAAGCUGCGGCAGCGACGCUUAUGCGUUGUUGGGUAGGGGAGCGUUCUGUAAGCCUGUGAAGGUGUGCUGUGAGGCAUGCUGGAGGUAUCAGAAGUGCGAAUGCUGACAUAAGUAACGAUAAAGCGGGUGAAAAGCCCGCUCGCCGGAAGACCAAGGGUUCCUGUCCAACGUUAAUCGGGGCAGGGUGAGUCGACCCCUAAGGCGAGGCCGAAAGGCGUAGUCGAUGGGAAACAGGUUAAUAUUCCUGUACUUGGUGUUACUGCGAAGGGGGGACGGAGAAGGCUAUGUUGGCCGGGCGACGGUUGUCCCGGUUUAAGCGUGUAGGCUGGUUUUCCAGGCAAAUCCGGAAAAUCAAGGCUGAGGCGUGAUGACGAGGCACUACGGUGCUGAAGCAACAAAUGCCCUGCUUCCAGGAAAAGCCUCUAAGCAUCAGGUAACAUCAAAUCGUACCCCAAACCGACACAGGUGGUCAGGUAGAGAAUACCAAGGCGCUUGAGAGAACUCGGGUGAAGGAACUAGGCAAAAUGGUGCCGUAACUUCGGGAGAAGGCACGCUGAUAUGUAGGUGAGGUCCCUCGCGGAUGGAGCUGAAAUCAGUCGAAGAUACCAGCUGGCUGCAACUGUUUAUUAAAAACACAGCACUGUGCAAACACGAAAGUGGACGUAUACGGUGUGACGCCUGCCCGGUGCCGGAAGGUUAAUUGAUGGGGUUAGCGGUAACGCGAAGCUCUUGAUCGAAGCCCCGGUAAACGGCGGUACGUAACUAUAACGGUCCUAAGGUAGCGAAAUUCCUUGUCGGGUAAGUUCCGACCUGCACGAAUGGCGUAAUGAUGGCCAGGCUGUCUCCACCCGAGACUCAGUGAAAUUGAACUCGCUGUGAAGAUGCAGUGUACCCGCGGCAAGACGGAAAGACCCCGUGAACCUUUACUAUAGCUUGACACUGAACAUUGAGCCUUGAUGUGUAGGAUAGGUGGGAGGCUUUGAAGUGUGGACGCCAGUCUGCAUGGAGCCGGCCUUGAAAUACCACCCUUUAAUGUUUGAUGUUCUAACGUUGGCCCCUGAUCGGGGUUGCGGACAGUGUCUGGUGGGUAGUUUGACUGGGGCGGUCUCCUCCUAAAGAGUAACGGAGGAGCACGAAGGUUGGCUAAUCCUGGUCGGACAUCAGGAGGUUAGUGCAAUGGCAUAAGCCAGCUUGACUGCGAGCGUGACGGCGCGAGCAGGUGCGAAAGCAGGUCAUAGUGAUCCGGUGGUUCUGAAUGGAAGGGCCAUCGCUCAACGGAUAAAAGGUACUCCGGGGAUAACAGGCUGAUACCGCCCAAGAGUUCAUAUCGACGGCGGUGUUUGGCACCUCGAUGUCGGCUCAUCACAUCCUGGGGCUGAAGUAGGUCCCAAGGGUAUGGCUGUUCGCCAUUUAAAGUGGUACGCGAGCUGGGUUUAGAACGUCGUGAGACAGUUCGGUCCCUAUCUGCCGUGGGCGCUGGAGAACUGAGGGGGCUGCUCCUAGUACGAGAGGACCGGAGUGGACGCAUCACUGGUGUUCGGGUUGUCAUGCCAAUGGCACUGCCCGGUAGCUAAAUGCGGAAGAGAUAAGUGCUGAAAGCAUCUAAGCACGAAACUUGCCCCGAGAUGAGUUCUCCCUGACUCCUUGAGAGUCCUGAAGGAACGUUGAAGACGACGACGUUGAUAGGCCGGGUGUGUAAGCGCAGCGAUGCGUUGAGCUAACCGGUACUAAUGAACCGUGAGGCUUAACCUU